rnacentral:rRNA from 1 species
ACUCAAAUGAAUUGACGGGGGCCCGCACAAGCAGCGGAGCAUGUGGCUUAAUUCGACGCAACGCGAAGAACCUUACCAAGGCUUGACAUAUGCCGGAAACGUCUGGAGACAGGCGCCCCCUUGUGGUCGGUGUACAGGUGGUGCAUGGUUGUCGUCAGCUCGUGUCGUGAGAUGUUGGGUUAAGUCCCGCAACGAGCGCAACCCUUGUUCUGUGUUGCCAGCGACCAGUGACUUUGUUACUGGGUCGGGGACUCACAGGAGACUGCCGGGGUCAACUCGGAGGAAGGUGGGGACGACGUCAAAUCAUCAUGCCCCUUAUGUCUUGGGCUGCACACGUGCUACAAUGGCUGGUACAAAGGGUUGCGAUGCCGUGAGGUGGAGCGAAUCCCAAAAAGCCGGUCUCAGUUCGGAUUGGGGUCUGCAACUCGACCCCAUGAAGUUGGAGUUGCUAGUAAUCGCAGAUCAGCAUGCUGCGGUGAAUACGUUCCCGGGCCUUGUACACACCGCCCGU